AAAAACUAAACAAGAAAAAGUCUUGUAAGAAGAUGGUCUGAUAAGUGCUGGGAGAUAAUAUUUUUUUCUCAUUUUAUACCUGAUAUCUUCUAACCUGGAUAUGACCAACCUUGGGCAGAGACGACGUUAGAUCACAUUUCUAAUGUGCUGGCAGCUCCCCAUCCCAGAGGGAUUUUCACUGAGUAAGCUUCGAUGAGAAAUGAAGUGAAUCACAAGAAAGUAAUUUGACAUGAGGGAUUUAUCUUUGAACCAACCAGUUCCGAGGCAUAACCAGGGCUUGGGAUCCUGCUGUAUCUGUUACAAAAGGAUGAGCUACAGAAAACCCAGUGGGACAAUGAAUAGGCCAUCACUGUGUCUGAGCUGCUCCUGGAAAGUUCCAGGAAUGUGGAAAUUCUGUGAGGCCAUCUCAAUUCCAUCAGCCUGGACAAAACUCCCUAGCAGACUUUCUAUUUGUCACCUUCUUCAGUUCCUCUGGGGAAAGAGAACCCAGGCCUCCACUGCUUUCAAACCCCCAGAAUCAACUCCCAGAAUCAACUUGAAUUUCAGUUGGUUCCUACUUUGAACCUGAGAGAGAGAGGCAGGAGCCUUUCUUUCUCAAAGACCCACGCUGUCUGCUCACUUUCUGCUUCCACUAUAAGUUCCCCCCCACUCCCUUGCAUAGGGACUCUGCUCAUGUGUGUACUUGUAGGAGAAUGCCACAGGAAUCUGCUCUCUGUGUCAUGAUCUUUUCCCCAAAUCUAUUUCAUUUCCUCUGCAUGCAGCUUUCCUUUCCCCUCAAGGACCUAGAUAGACUUUGAAAAUUAAAACCCAGGAAAAAAAAGUUCUUGUUCUCUUUCAGUUUUGUCAUCCCACUAUUGAAGCAGUUAUUACAGAGCACCAGCAACUUCCUGAAUGAAAGUAGAAAUCUCUAGAGCUGUGCCAUCCAGUAUGGUAGCUAAGGGCCACAGGAAGCU
rnacentral:lncRNA from 1 species